rnacentral:rRNA from 1 species
CGUAGGUGGCAAGCGUUGUCCGGAGUUACUGGGUGUAAAGGGCGUGUAGGCGGGAAGAUAAGUCAGAUGUGAAAUUCCAUGGCUCAACUGUGGCGCUGCAUCUGAAACUAUUUUUCUUGAGUGAUGGAGAGGAAAGUGGAAUUCCUAGUGUAGCGGUGAAAUGCGUAGAUAUUAGGAGGAACACCAGUGGCGAAGGCGACUUUCUGGACAUUAACUGACGCUGAGGCGCGAAAGCGUGGGGAGCAAACAGGAUUAGAUACCCUGGUAGUCCACGCUGUAAACGAUGGAUACUAAGUGUAGGAGGUAUCGACCCCUCCUGUGCCGCAGUUAACACAAUAAGUAUCCCACCUGGGGAGUACGGCCGCAAGGUUG